rnacentral:rRNA from 1 species
AUUGAACGCUGGCGGCAUGCUUUACACAUGCAAGUCGAACGGUAACAGGCCUUCGGGCGCUGACGAGUGGCGAACGGGUGAGUAAUGCAUCGGAACGUGCCCAGUCGUGGGGGAUAACGCAGCGAAAGCUGUGCUAAUACCGCAUACGAUCUGCGGAUGAAAGCGGGGGACCUUCGGGCCUCGCGCGAUUGGACCGGCCGAUGUCAGAUUAGGUAGUUGGUGGGGUAAAGGCUCACCAAGCCAACGAUCUGUAGCUGGUCUGAGAGGACGACCAGCCACACUGGGACUGAGACACGGCCCAGAUUCCUACGGGAGGCAGCAGUGGGGAAUUUUGGACAAUGGGCGCAAGCCUGAUCCAGCAAUGCCGCGUGCAGGAAGAAGGCCUUCGGGUUGUAAACUGCUUUUGUACGGAGCGAAAAGGCUCCCUCUAAUACAGGGGGCUCAUGACGGUACCGUAAGAAUAAGCACCGGCUAACUACGUGCCAGCCGCCGCAGUAAAAC